GACGAACGCUGGCGGCGUGGAUUAGGCAUGCAAGUCGAACGGUAUCAUCCUUUCGGGGGUGAGAGAGUGGCGAACUGGUGAGUAACACGUAGGUUAUCUACCCUCAAGACGGGGACAACCCAGGGAAACUUGGGCUAAUACCGGAUGUGAGCAACUUUUAGUUGUUUGAAAGGUGGCGUAAGCUGUCGCUUGGGGAUGAGCCUGCGUCCUAUUAGUUAGUUGGUGAGGUAACGGCUCACCUAGGCAAUGAUAGGUAGGCGGCCUUAACGGGUGGUCGCCCACACUGGGAUUGAGAUACGGCCCAGACUCCUACGGGAGCAGCAGUCGAGAAUAGUCUACAAUGGUCGAAGACUGAUAGUGCGACGCCGCGUGAACGAUGAAUCCCGUUCGGGGUGUUAAAGUUCUUUUAUAUGUGAGCAGUGCUUCUUAUAUUAACAGUAUGGGGAGAGAGUAUAUUAGCUAAUAUGAAAUAACGACGUAACGACUAAACCGUCCGUACGCCCAGACGAACGGCCCGAACGGGUUAAAACUACCGG
rnacentral:rRNA from 1 species